UACGUAGGGGGCAAGCGUUGGUCCGGAUUCAUUGGGCGUAAAGAGCGUGUAGGCGGCCAGGUAGGUCGGUUGUGAAAAACUGGAGGCUCAACCUUCAGACGUCGACCGAAACCAUCUGGCUAGAGUCCGGGAGAGGAGAGUGGAAUUCCUGGUGUAGCGGUGGAAUGCGCAGAUAUCAGGAGGAACACCGAUGGCGAAAGGCAGAUCUCUGGGCCGUAACUGACGCUGAGGAGCGAAAGCGUGGGGGAGGCGAAACAGG
rnacentral:rRNA from 1 species